GGGAGCUGAAGCGAUGAGGUAAUUGGAGCGGUGACCGGUCGGUCCUCGCGCGCCUCCUCGGGUCCCUGCAUCGAGUUGUGAAGGCACAGGCUGGGCGCGACUCAGGCACCCUGGAGGGACUCUCCGAGGGGUGCCGGGCUGCAAACCGGAGCCCGUGAAAUCCCCUCUGGGGAAGCAGAGGUGGGCCGGUUCCGAUCCCGACGUUCCCUUCGGGCGUGCGGAGAAGCGUCUUAAGAGGGCUGACUCCGACCUUCACGCACGUUAACCCUCAAACCGGUUUAGCUUCGGCGUUUUGGAACCCAGCCCACCGAGCCGCGGGGAUCGCCUUGGCGUGCAACUCAGGAAAGUUUUAAGGGUCCUCCCCCUCAACCCCCCGUCUGCACGUGCACCCUCGCCUUUCCUGCCUGUGAAAGCUGGUGACCACCCUGCUCUCCUUUCUCUUUUUGCAGGUCCGGAAAUCUGCUCAGAGCACGGAACUACCCAGCUCGAGCCUGGGUAGACGACCCGCGCACUCCUCUCGCCUCUAAUUCGGGAUCAUUAAUUUCAUCGGAAAUGAGGUAACCAGUGUAGGAGAUAGAGAAAGCAAACCGAGCAUCAGAUGGCAGUUCUCGUGAAUCCGCGCGGUAAGAACUUCCUCUGGACUCAGUUUUUAAAGUGCAGUUCUCAGUUCCUCGCCACCCGACCCUCCGUGGGUACCACCGCCAGGCAUUAGCUGGAAGGGAAGGACUCUUCUUUGGACUGGUGGUACCUGGCCAACAGGUGUGCCACCUGGAGGAGGAGAAGGCACAGCCAUGCUACAGGGAACUCAUUGCGGCGGCGUUCUCCUGGCUGCAGAUAAUUCUGGAAGGCCGGAAACAAUCCUAGAAGCUGAAAUACUUCCAGAGUUCAACAGUCUGGGAAAUUUAAAAGAGGGAGGAAAAAAGCCCUUCAUCCAAAGAUCUGAGGACAGAACUCUGUUCUUUGAGGAUGGGAGGAGGUAAGAAGACCCUAUUCAUGGCUGCAGGAGAGGAAAAGAGCCCCACAAGGAAACUACCAACAGAUGGUAAAUACAUUUUUAAUUCUUCUGUCAUACUGUGUGGACUUGU
rnacentral:lncRNA from 1 species